rnacentral:misc_RNA from 1 species
UCGAUGCGUUUUGUUUGCUAGUCUCUCGGACAGAAUCAACAACGAGCUAUGAAAGUGUCCUGAAAACCGACAUUUUUCUGGAGAUGAGCCUCCCAUUUUUGAAGUCAGUUAUACAUACGUUAGUUUCUGGAAAAAGAACUCCAUAAAAGCCUGAAUUUAAUCCUGGACAAGAUGAUAUUCGACGUGAUUCAAUUGACGAAUAUAUUAUUAUUCCUCCUUUGGAGCUCCAGUAUAAGAUGUUACAACGUUCCUUGCACAUUCAACUCAAUGUGCAUGUGUUGGAUUCAGGAUGAUGAUGACGAUUUUACGAAGAUGGAUAUUAGCUGUAUGGGAGUACCAUUCGCACGAUUUCCUGACGUAUCAGUGAGUUAUGUGGCACAACUAGAUAUCGCUGGAUCCGGUAUACAAGUAUUGGACAAUGAUGCACUUGCGAGUUCUGCAGGUGUCGAGGCUUUGGGAUUAAUGAGCAAUCGUUUAUCCGGUAUAGGUGAUAAAUCUCUGCUAGGUGUUACGGACAGUCUACGUUCUCUGGAUCUAAGCUAUAAUUCCCUUGAGGAUGUGCCUUUUAAGGUUUUUCGCGAUCUAAGGAAAUUAAAUUGGCUUAACAUGCACAGCAAUCAUUUAACAUCGUUGGAUGGCGACUGGGGACGCACCAAAGAGACUCUAACGAACGCAUUUUUUGGUGAUAACUCGAUUACCGAAGUGCCCAGAAUCUUUUCGAAUUUCGCCAACCUGGUAUGGUUAAAUUUAGACAGCAAUAAUAUCGAGGAACUCUUUAAAGAUUGUUUACCACCAAACAUGCACACUUUGAGUAUUAAUAAUAACCUCUUGAAAGAAUUCCCACAAUCCUUGGGAGGUCUUAAAGAACUAACUUGGCUGUAUAUGAGAGGAAAUGAUCUCAGGUAUCUAGAAUUACCAGAUUUUCGUAGUUCCAAUCUGGAGCUCAUAGAUGUUAGCGAGAAUUCCAUUGAAUGGAUGAAGACGCCCAAUCUGAGCAAUCACACUGUAAAAGUCAGAGACUUUAAUCUAGCGGGAAAUAAAUUGGUCUCAUUACCACGCAGAAUGUUUGAUCGUCUUGAAACCAGAAGAAUUCAUCUAUCAUCAAACAGCAUCAGAAACGUUGACAAGGAAGCAUUUCGCGGUCUGGAAGAUAGUCUCGAAUAUUUAAAUUUAGAAAAUAACAACUUGCCGACUGUACCAAGCGCUGUUAGCCAGUUGAAGAUAUUAUCCUAUCUCUAUUUAGCUAACAACGAGAUUAAAAAUAUUUCCGGCGAGGCCUUUCAAGAAUUCGCAGAGCAUUUAAAGGCUCUCUCUCUUGCAACUAACAGUCUGGAUGCAGUACCUGUAGCUGCUUUGUCCAGAUGCCAGAGGCUAUUGCACUUGAAUCUUGGUUACAACAAGAUCUCCCACGUCGAGCCGGGUGAUUUCGAAUGGGCCGAAGACCUUGAGAUCUUAUUGCUCAGGAACAAUAUCCUGACGAAACUCAAAGCUGAGACUUUCAAAGGAGCCGGUAAACUGAAAGAGCUCAGCCUGUCCUUCAAUCAUUUGACGGAACUGGAUGAUGACUGUUUUGUUGGUCUCGAGGAGAGUCUAGACAUUCUCGAAUUGAGCUUCGCCUUCGCCACAGACGUUUUUCCACAGCGUGCACUUAGACCACUCUCAAAUCUCCGGUGGCUGGUUUUAGACAACAAUAAUUUUCAGACAAUCGAGGCAACAGCCUUUUACUCCUUCCAACAAUUGCGUUACAUUAAUAUGGAAUCAAACAGAUUGCAUUACUUGCCCGAAAGGAUAUUCCUCUCAAGCGUGCAUCCAGAAUUAAGGGACGUCAAAUUGGGAUACAAUUUCCUGGAGGCAAUACCGGAGUCAAGUUUCCAUAAUUUGACCGAGCUGCUGUCUCUUGACUUGACUGGGAAUCGAAUAAGAAUCUUGGCAUCUGGCUCCAUCGUAGAUUGCCCAAAGCUGGUGACUAUAUCAUUAGCUUAUAACCGAAUACAGAAGAUGGAGAGAAACGCAUUGUAUGGUUUGUCCAGCUUGCGUUUCCUCCAUUUGGAAUUCAAUAAGCUAACUGUGCUGGAUUUGGGUGCUAUCUCAGAGAUCGGUGGUCCCGAUUUUGCCUUAAAUGUUUCCUACAAUGCGAUCGCAUUCGUCGAUUCGGGAUCUACAAUGAAUAAUCUUACCAGAUUGGAUCUUGGAUUCAAUAAUAUUAGCCAUUUAUCAGCGGAUACGUUUUACGGAACGCCCGAUUUGAAAAACUUAUAUCUACAGAAUAAUUAUCUUGCCACAAUCGAUCCCGGAACAUUUGCAUUUCCUCAUUUAGAAACUUUGGACUUAAGUAACAACAAGAUAGACACAUUACGCAAACAAUCCUUUCACGGUUUGGAGUCCCUUCAGUGGCUGAAUCUUGGCGGAAAUGAAAUAACGCAGUUGUCGACAGAGCAAUUCAGAAAUCUAAAAAGUCUGAGGAUUCUGACUCUCUCGAACAAUAAAAUUCGUUCGUUACCAAAAGAUGUUUUUGAAGGUACCAGAUUAGAAAUCCUUGAUCUCAGUCACAAUAAAUUCACCGUCGUGCCCUCGUCGUCGUUCUUAGAAGUCGGUUAUACUCUGAGGGAUCUCAAUAUGGCAGAAAAUUUCCUGGAUCACCUUGACUCGACUGCUUUCCCGACUUCUCAGCUGGUAUCUUUGAAUUUGGCGCAAAAUCGUCUGACUAUUCUUCCAGACAAUUCAUUCGUUUCUCUGGGAAAAUUACUGAGUCUGAACGUAUCUCAAAAUUUUCUUCAAGCAAACUUUAAAGAGCUGUUUCAUUAUUUACCAGAUUUGAGACAUCUCUAUCUGGCUAAUUGCGGUCUUAGAAGCGUACCGUUACUGCCACUGAUAAAUUUAAAUAAUUUGGAUUUAUCUUUUAACAACGUUGACGAGACUACUGACAAGCAGUUUCAAUAUCUAGAAGGUUUGAAGAUUCUUUUAUUGGUUAAUAACUCGUUAACAUUGAUGCCCGGUGUCAGAUUGAGCCUCUUGAGAGAACUUGAUGUUUCUGGCAAUCCUAUCGAGGAAUUAACGAAAGAGAGCUUCUUGGGCUAUCCAAGAUUAGAGAAAUUAAACUUAAGAAAUUUAAAUCGGACGAGAUCAGUGGACAAAGAUUGUCUGCAACCUCUGAAAUAUUUAAAACACCUGCGAAUUCAAACGUGGCCGCAAGCCGACGGAUUUCACUUGCGUCAUCUGCUAUCCGGUUUACCGCUUCGAACAGUCGAGAUUCAAGUAACGGAACAUCUUCUGAAGCAUCAAAUACAAAACGUCUUCACAAAACAACUGAGAGAACUAACGAUCACCGGAAACGAUCUUGAAUUGAUUUCCUCUGAAGCGUUCUCUACUAUCGAAGGCGGAGACUUGAUAUUAAGAAUCAAAGACACGCACGUUCAACGAUUACAGUCGGAUAUUUUUUUAUCGUUGACGAAGAGAUUGUCACAGCUUACUUUGGAUCUAAGGAACAAUCAUAUUAAUGAAUUAAGUCCGUCGAUAAUUUACGGGAAUCUUUCCUGGGAGACUGUAGGAACUAAUAUGGUGGCUGGUGGACUGCAGGUAUCGGGUAAUCCACUCGAAUGCGAUUGCGAAAUUGCAUGGCUCAGCCUGUGGCUGCGCAGGUGGCUCAGAGAGUCCCGACAAAUUCAUACAGCAUCGCAAUCCGAUGCCAGACAACUCAGGACCAUAGCCGGCCGAGCUGUCUGCACGGAAACAACUCCGUCUUAUUCCUCUGACAAGGUCUUGCUGACUCUGGGUACACCGCACACCGCUUGCCAAGCAUCCGCCCUCAGCUCGGGAAAUUACGAACGCCUGGCGACAACCUGGUUGGCCUUCGUCAAAUUCUUCAUCCUCGUCUUUAUUGCCAAUUAACUACGAGUUGAUAUUACGACAUUUUUCCUUGGGCCUAGUCUUCACAAUGUGAUCUUUUUUUAAUAUGGCGAGGGGUAAAAAUACACAAGAAUGGAAAAAAAUUCUUAAAAAGUAGGAAUAAAGAUGUAGGCAAUAAGGUACUUGUGGGAAAAUGCAUGGAAGAAAAAAUUCAUAAAGAAGAUAAACUCGUUGACACGCGACGAUAAUAUACUUAUGUUCGCAAAUUGAUGAACACUUUCAAUAAAAUUAUUUUUCCUAAACUUUCUUGACACUUUUUUUAUUUUACAGUUUCACGUAUC